UGUUUCAGACGGCUUCGUCUCUUUCUUCUUCCGUCUACUUCUUAUAUUUGUUACCCUUUCCUGUCGUGCUUUCUGUCUUUUCUUUUAUGAUUCUACUUAAGCUUCUUGACUAUGAAAACCUAUACUAUACUACAAUUGAUUUUAAAAGCGAUCGACAAAUUUAACUGGGUUUUUGGGCAAAUCGCCGGAAAUGGCUCUUUCCUUGUGCUUCCUUCUCAGUUAUCUAACUCUUUCUAUUGUAUGUUUUCAAAAGAUAAUCUUCUUUGAUUUAUGUAGUUGGUACUAGGAGCGGGCGUUCGAUUUUUCGGUUCGAUAAAGUAGUUGGUACUAAGGGCAGGUGUUCGAUUUUUCGGUUCGAUUUUAUCAAAUUUCGGUUUGGCUAUUUCGGGUUCGAUUUUUUGAAGGUGGACACCGAAUACCUAAUCAAACUAGUUCGGUUCGGUUCUUUCGGUUUCGGUUUUUUAAAGUUCGAUUCGGUUCGGUUUCGAUUUUUUUCAAUUCGAUUUUUUUAUACGAUAUUAGAAGCGAUUUCAUUGACACUAAUUCGUAUUCUUAAAAACAAUAAAAUAUAAAACUGAUAAAUUAAAAUUAAAAUCAAACAAAUAGGAUACACAAAAACAGAAAAUUAUAAUCAUGAUAUAGGAUUAUUAGGUGUUAUAUACAUAUCGUAAGAAUAAUUAAGAAAACACAUAAAGAACAUAUAUUAAUCUAAAGACACAUUCUAGUUACUUUUCUUUGUUAAGAAUAUUUGAUUUUCUUAACUGAAUUGAAAAAUUAUAAUACAAAAGCACAAAUGCAAAAGAGGACUUGUUACAAUAGGGUUUUUUCUGGCUUUAAACUUAAUGGACUUGGACUAUUUUAAUUUUUUUGGUUAAUGUAUUAAAUUUCGGUGGACAUUUGGUUUUUCGGUUCAGUUUUAUCAAACUUCGAUUCGGCUAUUUCGGUUUCGAUUUUUUGACGGUGGACACCAAACACCGAACCAAGUAGUUCGGUUCAGGUCGGUUUGUUGAAGUUUCGGUUCGAUUCCAUUUGAUUUUUCGAUUUUCGGUAUUUAUGCCGACCCUAGUUGGUACUGUGAAUCUGAGAUUUUUCUUCCUUUAAUUUUUCAUGUUAAAAUUAGACUUUUGCUAUUAGUUUGGUGAGUCCAUUCUAAAAAUUUCUUUGUUAAUUAGAUCGCAUUCCUCUUCUUUUGAUGAAAAUCUGUUAGUUUGCUAUUAGUUUUUGUGAUUUUAUUCUGAUGGGUUUUGUUUUUUUUCCUCCUUUUUUUAUGUAAAAUCUGUUAGUUUGCUAAAAAUAGACGCAUAAAGCUCAUAUUUUUGACCGGCGGGUGAAUGCCAAUCUGAAUAUUGUGGACACUGAGACCAUUUCAGUGACAAAGCCAUUGCAUCAUUGUCGGUCUGAUGGGUUAAAUUGUCUUUGCUUCAUCAACCAAUUAAUUCUUUGUUUUAGUUCUGCUAUUGAAAUGGUAUACUUCCAUUUGUUCUCUUGCUACGGCUAUCUAAAUCAUUGGGUUCAGCGAUUUCUUCUCCUACAAAUUGGUCGAGCAUGUUUUCAUCUCACUGUAUUGAUGGAUUAUCUGUUCAGGUGACUCAAGAAAAGCUUAGCAACCUUGAACCAGUAGCGCGCAUAAGGAAAGCCUAUGAAGAAUUUACCAGUUUUUAGAUAAUACAAUCUUCAACCAGUCUUUUUCACCAAAAUAUACCAAGUUGUGAGUUAGAUGAAGUCUAAGCAAAGCUUACCUUCCUUCUGCAUCAGAGAAAAGCCUUGAGGACUACUAUGUGAAUACAUAUGCUCUAAAGGGCAGAAUAUAACACAAAGACAUACUUAUGGGCAGAGAAGGCAUGAAGACAAAAGUUUUACUAAUGGGAGAAGUUCACAAAUGCUAAUUCUGAAAGUUGGGUUCUAAGAAAAUCUUUUUGAGAAUUGGAGUUAUCUCACUGUUGAAAAGGAAAAAAAAAAAAAAAAAAAAAAGGUUAGUUCCAACUGAUAUGCUAAUUUUAGUAGAGGUAUUGGUCUUGCUUCAUCGGUUUAAAUCGUCUACCUGCCAGACAUAAGUUAUUCACCAUUACACGCGUCAAAUUAUUAUUUUUCCACUCCAAGUAAUAUUUCAACUUGGAGUCCUUUUUGAACUUCUACUACGGGAAUACACAUUGAAGCAUUAAAUUUAUCUUCUCAACUACGUGAACCUUUUGCUCCUCUCCUUUCACCAAAGAUGCAUUUUUGCGCUUUUUACCGAGUCUUAGAGUAUCGUUGACAUGAUUUGGUUUGUUGAUUUUGGUAUGUACAAGUGUUAUGCCUCUUAAAUCUUACUGCGAGUUCGUUUACUGGAGUUUUACGACUUAUCUUGUUAUAAGAGAGGUUCAGAAGUUUUUUGUGUGGUUUAACUUUGAUUGCAGCACCAGUGAUAAGUGCUUUUCUCUCGAAAGAAAAUAUGUGAUAUUUUAAUAUCACGAUUCUUGGUCCAACACAAUCUGCUUAUGGGGGUAUUUUGUCCAACCAAUUAUGCUAAGUAAAUGAAAGUCCGUGUUGCUAUUAUGCUUCUCUUGAAUUGGUUAUUCUCUGUGCAUAGUUCUUGGGAAGACGUUAGCAUGUUUCACUGGUUUUCUUUUCAUUUUUCAUGCCACAACUAUCAUUUGCCUGUAUAGUAAAAACGUUCAUUGGCCUACCCAGUCCCUCUUUUUUGAAGCAUGUGGAUUAUGUAUUUAUGUUGAACAUGAUCUGGCAGAGGAUGAUAUGUUGCUAAUUGGGAAAGUUGAGUUCUUGAAAAUCUUUCUGAGAAUAGGAGUUAUCUGAUAUGUUCGUCGUUGUUGAGAAGGAAAAGAAAAACUUUAGCUGAUAAGCUAAUUUAGUAAAGCUAAUUCUCCAAGUCCACAAAAUGAGGAGCUUUAACCUUUGACACUCUUUCAGAUAUCAGUAUAUCUUGAGUUAAUUUAAUUACUAUUCUAAAUCUUGUUAAAGCUAGCUAAGUUGGUGUGAAUGAGAAAUGGAGGGAAAAAGAUAAUGGAAGGAAAAUGAAGUUCAAAGCAAAGUUCCUUUGAAAAGGAGCCUUGUACCACAUUGGUGAUAGAAAGGGAAAGUUAUGUGCUUAUAUUAAAAAGCACUUCCUCUAGCUCUUAAAGGGUCAAGAAGAGGGACUCCCCUUGUGCCGUUGUCGUCGUUCGGCUUUGGUUUUUGAUUUGGUCAAAUGAUCUGAUUGAUUGAUAAUCUUUUUUGACCAAAUUUAUUUAAAUUCAAUCUUCAUUUUCUGAAAUUAUUUUGUUAUUUCCGCCGUAAAAUAUUAAUUAAUAAAUAAUU